rnacentral:rRNA from 1 species
ACGGAAGGCAGCAGUGAGGAAUAUUGGUCAAUGGACGCAAGUCUGAACCAGCCAUGCCGCGUGCAGGAAUAAGGCCCUAUGGGUCGUAAACUGCUUUUGUGGUGGAGCAAUAAGUCGUACGUGUACGGCGAUGAGAGUACAUCACGAAUAAGCAUCGGCUAACUCCGUGCCAGCAGCCGCGGUAAUACGGAGGAUGCAAGCGUUAUCCGGAUUUAUUGGGUUUAAAGGGUGCGUAGGCUGUGGUCCAAGUCAGGGGUGAAAGCCCGGAGCUCAACUCCGGAACUGCCUUUGAUACUGGAUUGCUGGAAUACGGAUGCCGUGGGAGGAAUGAGUAGUGUAGCGGUGAAAUGCAUAGAUAUUACUCAGAACACCGAUUGCGAAGGCAUCUCACGAAACCGUCAUUGACGCUGAGGCACGAAAGCGUGGGGAUCAAACAGGAUUAGAUACCCUGGUA